rnacentral:tRNA from 2 species
GGGUCCAUAGCUCAGUGAUAGAGCAUUUGACUGCAGAUUAAGAGGUCACCGGUUCGAACCCGGUUGGGCCCU